rnacentral:misc_RNA from 1 species
CGCAGCCGCGGUAAUUCCAGCUCCAAUAGCGUAUAUUAAAGUUGUUGCAGUUAAAAGCUCGUAGUUGAAUUUCGGAAUCAUCAGGUUGGUCGUGCCUCUGGUAUGUACUGAUCUCGAUGGUCCCUCCUUCUUGAAGAACCGUAAUGGCAUUAAUUUGUUGUUGCGGGGAAACAGGACUGUUACUUUGAAAAAUUAGAGUGUUUAAAGCAGGCAAUCGCUUGAAUACAUUAGCAUGGGAUAAUGAAAUAGGACGUUCGAUCCUAUUUUGUUGGUUUCUAGGAUUGACGUAAUGAUUAAUAGGGAUAGUUGGGGGCAUUAGUAUUCAAUUGUCAGAGGUGAGAUUCUUGGAUUUAUUGAAGACUAACUACUGCGAAAGCAUUUGCCAAGGAUGUUUCAUUA